ACUGCAUUGGCUGCUGAUUAAAUUCAAGAUUUCAGUUCUCAUCUUUGAAGACCCAUGUUACCAGAGGGAUUUUCUCACCCAUGUUGUUAUGGCCUCCCAUGACAGCAACACUCCAGGGAGACAACAGAGCUGCCAACCUCAGAGUGAAAUCCCUGGGUGCAGGAGCUGGAGCUUUCUCAGUACCUAGCCCACAAGCCUGACACUCACUGCCGGGCCCAUUCAACCUAAAUGAUAGCAUCUGCUGGGACUGGGGAAGCAGACAUGCAGAAUCCUCACAAAUGGAAAUGCCAGGGAUGGAUCAGAUACCAGAUGCAGGUGCCCUUGAACCAACUAAUCCAUUGGUUAGUGUUUGAAACACCAUAGGAGUCGUACUACAGCCAGCUAUUUGUCCGCAGGUGAUUCGGUCCCAUCUCUUCUGCAGAUGAGAAGUUAGCCUGUUUGCUGAGCUGGCUGGUGGAAGGACAUCGGGGGAGAGGCCAAGAUUUCCAAAAGCGAGAGUGGAAGUGGAAACAGUUGCAGGGUUAGGGGCUUACAGGGUAUUUUUGUUCAACGUGGCCUUCAGAUUGACCAACACAUGGUAAUAAACAAUUACUGACAAUGUUGCCAUUCUUCUGCUGUUAUAGUGUUUUGAAUCUAUAUGACAUAGGAAAAAUAACCAAAUGCAUUGUCAGACUUUUCUUCUGCUAAUGCUGGUAGAACUGUGCAUAUAACCAGUGCCCCAGGCACUGAAUACAUAACAUCUGUGGCUCAACAGCUAACUCUUCUGUGUAGGUAUGUGAAUCUCAUCCAGUCCUGGCAUAUCUUCUGUCUCAUUAAUAUCUGUAUGGUUGACCUGCUUCCUUGCCAGAGAUCAUUCCGUCAGUAACUAAUCAGCUUUCCAAUGACUGGUUAGUCACUCUAUAAAAAUCAAGAAAUCUGUCACCACUGUUUCCUUUCUCCCACUUAUUUCUGUGUACUACACACUUUCAUCCAUACCAUUAAAACUCAUCAAAUAAGCAUCUGUGAGAUAAUGGCUGCAACACAUUUUAUGAUACAUUUCCAAUAAACGAAGAGGUUUCUUUUUCCCAAUUAUUCACCUAGUUUAAAGUGGGGAAAAUAAUUCAAAAUAUUUUGUUUGAAAAAUGUUGCCUCUAUUUUCAUGAAUACUCACAAAUUAUUUGUCCAGCUCUAUAAACAUCAACAAAAAUAAUCAUAGAAGACAAAAGAAAAAGAGCCGUUAGAUAGCUCUUCCUGUUCACUCCAAGACCCCUCAAAGAGAAGUGUUAUCUAACUGAUGGCAGUUCAUCAAAUAGCUAUGUAAGCAGAGUCAGGAUGAGCUCUACCCUGACAUCUGGUGGUGAAUUAUGGGGAGUGUGGAAAGGAAUUUUAGGUAUUUGCAUUGGCACACCCACCUCACCUAGCAUAGCCCAUGGCAGCCUAGGAUGGUUAUUUUUACAGCUUUGGGAUCCUCAAUUUCUUUGUUAUUGGGGCAGGAGGAAUAAAGUGUUGUCACCCUGAUUAUGUGAAUGAGGAACUAUGAGACUGCUUUAUGCCAGAGAUGUCUCAAUAUCAAUUAAGUAGCACUUGCUAGACAAGGGACAUGGGUGCCAAAACCCAUUGAAAUGAGAGAGGUUGGGGACUGGUGUGUGUAUGUGAUGGUAUGGGGCCCUUUUGAGGGCCUGGAACACUAAUUGCACAUCUUCCUCUCUCCACUGUUGAAGAGUAGAGCUAAUUUUGAUUCCAUUAGGACUCCAUCUAGAGGCUGCUGAGCUGAAUUCAUGUUGGCCAAUGGUGCACCAGCACCAGGGCUCCCCUACUACAAGCUGAAAUCACUAAAAGAGCUAAGCUUAUUGAGCUGAGAUCACUGAGUGCUGUGUUAACUAGUGGGGGAGCCUGAAGACCUGUUGCUAAGCAGCUGGCAGAGUGGAGCAGUUUGCAGCAUGUUGGAGCAGCCCAUGGAACAGUGAGCGGAGUGGAGCGGUUUGCGGGGACGGCUGGAGGAGUGGCUGGUGUAGUGGAGCUGGUCGUGGUGAAGGCUACAGCAGAACUCCACGGAGAGGCAGAGCAGUUUGCCCUGGCCCAUGUAAGGUGCCCCUUAACACCCUGUGUGUGCCCCCCUCCCAUUUCCACCCAGGCUGGGGGGGUAAAACUCUGCAGAUAAACUUUUGACUCUGGGGUGGCACUGACCAGAGACUUUCAGGUUUUUGGACUUUGGGGUGAUUGGACUUAAGACCCUAAGGGGGAAAGGACAUUGCCAAACGUACUUGGAGGUGGGUUUUUGCUUAUGGUUUGUGUUAUAAUCCUGUUUGUGGUGUUUCUCCAAUGUGAUGCUGCAUUGUUUCCCUCCUUUAUUAAAAGGAUUUUGCUACA